rnacentral:rRNA from 4 species
AACGACUCUCGGCAACGGAUAUCUCGGCUCUCGCAUCGAUGAAGAACGCAGCAAAAUGCGAUACUUGGUGUGAAUUGCAGAAUCCCGUGAAUCAUCGAGUUUUUGAACGCAAGUUGCGCCCGAAGCCUUCGGGCCAAGGGCACGUCUGCCUGGGUGUCACGC